GAUGAACGCUAGCUACAGGCUUAACACAUGCAAGUCGAGGGGUAACGAGAGGAAAGCUUGCUUUCCUUGUCGACGACCGGCGCACGGGUGAGUAACGCGUAUCCAACCUGCCCCCAACUAAGGAAUAACCUUGCGAAAGUAAGACUAAUACCUUAUAAUUUCCUCAGAUGUCAUCUGACGAGGAAUAAAGAUUUAUCGGUUGUGGAUGGGGAUGCGUCUGAUUAGCUUGUUGGCGGGGUAACGGCCCACCAAGGCAACGAUCAGUAGGGGUUCUGAGAGGAAGGUCCCCCACAUUGGAACUGAGACACGGUCCAAACUCCUACGGGAGGCAGCAGUGAGGAAUAUUGGUCAAUGGGCGGAAGCCUGAACCAGCCAAGUAGCGUGCAGGAUGACGGCCCUAUGGGUUGUAAACUGCUUUUAUACAGGAAUAAAGUUAGCCACGUGUGGUUAUUUGUAGGUACUGUAUGAAUAAGGACCGGCUAAUUCCGUGCCAGCCGCCGCCGUAAGAC
rnacentral:rRNA from 1 species